UACGGGGGGGGCAAGCGUUGUUCGGAAUUACCGGGCGUAAAGGGCUCGUAGGCGGCCAACUAAGUCAGACGUGAAAUCCCUCGGCUUAACCGGGGAACUGCGUCUGAUACUGGAUGGCUAGAGGUUGGGAGAGGGAUGCGGAAUUCCAGGUGUAGCGGUGAAAUGCGUAGAUAUCUGGAGGAACACCGGUGGCGAAGGCGGCAUCCUGGACCAAUUCUGACGCUGAGGAGCGAAAGCCAGGGGAGCAAACGGG
rnacentral:rRNA from 1 species